rnacentral:misc_RNA from 1 species
UUGUUUCCAUACGAAUGUCUCUGUUGCGACAAAGGGAAACGGAAGAAAAUAAUAUGUUCAUUAUCUGUAUCAAUAACUGACUUACUGACAUGCCACACAAACAGAUAUCAGGGUCCAUAAAAGGCAAAAAAAUAUUUAGAAAGUUCAAUUUAAACAGUCUACUCUACUCGCCUUCCCAACCUACUAGGGCUGAGCAAGUUUUGGCUAUAACUGGAAAACCGAACCGAACCGAUUCGAUUAAAUUGGUUUUUUUUCAGUUAUUUAAGUCAAACAGUUCAGUUCAGUUAU